UGAAUACACUGACUAAAGUGUGAAGCGUAUUCUAGCACAUUAAACUAGUGGGGAGUUUAGUUCAGUGGUGUUUAGCUUCUUCACACGGAAACAAAUCCCAUUUAAAUAGUAAAUUUUAAAAUAACUAAAAGGGAGCUGUUAACGGGAAGAGUGUUUUUCUGGUGGCACGGGCUUAAAAAUGAUCGUUGGUGUACUAAAUGUUCAUCAGGUUUUAUAUCUGCCGCUGGCCGUAACAAAGAGCAAGUGUUAUCAACCCACCACCUAUUAACCUUGCUGCUACUGUGACUAACGGCACGUAUAAUCUUAUUAAUAAGUAGACCGGAAGUCUAUUAUGAAAAGUGUCCUUCAAUUACGUCACCACAGACCUCUGAUCAUAGAUCAGACACGUGUUCAUAUGUCUGGCUGAUCGGUAGGCUGCUGUCCUGGAGGAAUAUGUUUUCGAACACUAUAACAAUAACAUGAUAACUAUAUUAUACAAACUGGUGACAAUGUUGUGGGUUAGGUGUUUGUCAAGAUGCCUGAUUAAAAUACUUCAAAGCUAAACCAUAUGUGCAUGGGAAAAUAUCCAAAGUCCUUUGGAGUCCUGCAAGGAAUUACCAUAGUUCCAACAGCUUACCUAAAUUAUUAUCAAUAAUAAUACGUAACAAUAAAAGGUAUUAACGUAAUCAAACAUUUCGGCAGGUGCAAGUGUUUAGGACAUUCCAUAUGUGGUGGGUGUCCUGGAGAGACUGCAUGAAACACUAACUGAUAGAUAUACUUGAGAUGGAGAGCCUCUCUCCCACAUACCCGUGGGUGAGCAAGUGACAAAAUUAUGGGAGAAUUUUUCUGCCAUAAUUCAAAAGUACACAUUUUCAGUCUGAAAGCUUGUAAUACUUUUGCUUGCAUUUUAAUUUUGAAAGCAGGAUUAGGUCUUUCUUCUCAAAACUUGUAAUGUUUACGUCAAACCUUUCUCCUGGCGCUCUUGCAGAACUCUCUGCUCACUUAAACUUUAGCUGUAUCCAGGGACGGAGCUUCAGGGGGAGCUGGGGUGUGGCGGGUCCCUGGCCCGCCCGGGCCUAGAGGGGCCCGGAUGGGAGGCAGAAUAUGACUUCAGGGAUCCAAGCCUUUGCCACGUCUGAUGAGAGCUGGAGAAAGCGGGCCCUCUCCUGUUGAGUAUGAUCGAUUCAGACCCACCAAAACAUCCAGCCCAGCGAAGGAGCCGGACUGGUUGCAGGUAGCAACUCUGACAUUAUUCACAAAGUGUGAGUUAACUGUAGACUGAUUGUAAACUGGAUCAGCCCAGCCGUCUAGCUUACAUCCUCUUUUCUCUCUGUCGGUGGUACAGCAGUGAUGUCAGGGACUGAAGGCUGAGUUCUAGUCGCUUUCAACAGUUUGGGUUGAGCGUUUUUGAGUCAAGACAGCAGCAUGGCGUUUAUAGUUAAUAGGCUUCAGGCUCUGAGCUGAAAUUGAUAAAGUUUUAAAAAUGAUCCAAAUCCAUCCGCGGUUCUGAAUUGCUUUGAAUUUGUGUCGUUUCAUCAUUAGUAAGCUGAUGUUUCUGCUGUUCUCUUGGUUUGUUGUACUUCAUGUCAGAUGAGACAUCAGCGACAUAGUCGCUCUCAGUGGUGGUGAAACUUGUAAGCUCCGCUGUUGUGGGCAUGUCUAUGUUGUAAAGUUAAAUGAGCUUUAUUAUUUGGGUUUAAAGGGAUCAGUCAUUAGCCCCGCCCCCCGGGCCGACUGACUUGUUCCGCUAGUGGCCGUAUCUGAAUUCAGGGUCUGCAGCCUUCGAAGGACCUGAUCUACCUAGGACGGGUCCUUCGCAGGCCGCGGAUAAAUGAAGACCGGAAGAGAAAAGCUGUGAAUUCAAACAACUCUAGUCUUCAGCCAGCUAGAGAGCUGGACAAGAUGGCGGGUUGUGCAGCCAUGUUUUCUAGAGCUCACAGUGCAAGUCCUAAAUUCUACUCUUCUUUUAAGUUAACUCUGCACCAAAAUUACUGAAAUUGCUUCCCAUAACAAUAAUAAGUCACUCAAGUCUAGAACUCACCUGAAAAAGAAAGAAGCAACUUCUAAGACAGACCAGGGCUACGUCAUGGACGUGUACCUCCCCUCAAAAUAAAAGAGAACGUGGGCCAAGCAAGACACCUGGAGAAAAGCGACCCAGGUCAGUUGAAGAGGAAGAAGUGGAGGAAAUAUCUCUCAGAGAUAUAAUGAACAGUAUUAUGACGCUAGGAGAAAAAGUGGGCAAUAUUGAACAACAGGUGACACACAGCAGUGUUUUGCUUGCUAACCUAGCCAAGAUGGUGGAGUUCAAUGCUAAUGAAGUUAAAGAAUGCAUGUUAAAGGUUAAAGAGCUGGAAAAGCAAAAUGGAAAAACUACAUGAGGGGAAUGCUGAUCUU